rnacentral:rRNA from 1 species
AAUGAACGUUGGCGGCGUGGAUUAGGCAUGCAAGUCGAGCGUGAUAGGUUUGGUGCUUGCAUUAAACCUUGAAAGCGGCGAAAGGGACAGUAACGCGUAGAUACCUACCUCCAGGUCCGGGAUAGCGGCGGGAAACUGCCGGUAAUACCGGAUAAUGUCUUCGGACCAAAGGUUGAUUCCGCCUGGAGACUGAUCUGCGUCCUAUUAGCUAGUUGGUGGGGUAAUGGCCCACCAAGGCGAUGAUGGGUAGCGGGCGUGAGAGCGUGGCCCGCGUCACUGGGACUGAGACACUGCCCAGACACCUACGGGUGGCUGCGGUCGAGAAUCUUCGGCAAUGGGCGCAAGCCUGACCGAGCGACGCCGCGUGCGGGAUGAAGGCCUUCGGGUUGUAAACCGCUGUCGGAGAGGCGGAAAUCUCUAGGGGUUCUCCCCUAGAGUUGACCUAAUCUCGGAGGAAGUCCGGGCUAAGUUCGUGCCAGCAGCCGCAGUAA